rnacentral:rRNA from 1 species
UACAGAGGGUGCGAGCGUUAAUCGGAAUUACUGGGCGUAAAGCGUGCGUAGACGGUUAUUUAAGUCGGGUGUGAAAGCCCCGGGCUCAACCUGGGAAUUGCAUUCGAGACUGAAUAGCUAGGGUACGGUAGAGGGAAGCGGAAUUUACGGUGUAGCAGUGAAAUGCGUAGAUAUCGUAAGGAAGGCCGGUGGCGAAAGCGAGCCUCUGGACAGUUACUGACGCUGAUGCACGAAGGCCAGGGGAGCAAACGGG